GACGAACGCUGGCGGCGUGCUUAACACAUGCAAGUCGAACGGAAAGGCCCUGCUUGCAGGGUACUCGAGUGGCGAACGGGUGAGUAACACGUGGGUGAUCUGCCCUGCACUUCGGGAUAAGCCUGGGAAACUGGGUCUAAUACCGGAUAGGAGCCAUUUUUAGUGUGAUGGUUGGAAAGUUUUUUCGGUGUAGGAUGAGCUCGCGGCCUAUCAGCUUGUUGGUGGGGUAAUGGCCUACCAAGGCGGCGACGGGUAGCCGGCCUGAGAGGGUGGACGGCCACAUUGGGACUGAGAUACGGCCCAGACUCCUACGGGAGGCAGCAGUGGGGAAUAUUGCACAAGGGGCGCAAGCCUGAUGCAGCGACGCCGCUUGGGGGAGGACGGCCUUCGGGUUGUAAACUCCUUUCGCUAGGGACGAAGCUUUUUGUGACGGUACCUAGAUAAGAAGCACCGGCUAACUACGUG
rnacentral:rRNA from 1 species